rnacentral:lncRNA from 1 species
AGGGCCCUAGAAGAAAGAGCUGAUCCCAGGUCAGGGUUGGGAAAUGUACAACACAUUGAGACAACGUGGGACGUCUUUUCACACCAGAAAGCAAAGAAGCCAUCAAAGCACAAAGGCAAUGAUGAUAAAAAGACACAAGAGCCACUGGCAGGAGUCCUCACUGGCCAAAAAUUGAAAAAUUUGACCUUCAAAAAGAACAGUAACUACUAUGGAUUGAAAC